UAGCAAAUUUUUAAAAGUAUUCCCUGCCCAAUGGUUAAUUUAAAUGGCUGCAGUAUUCUGACUGUGCAAAGGUAGCAUAGUAAUUAGUCUUUUAAUUGGAGUCUUGUAUGAAUGGGUUCAUGAGAUAUUAUUUUUAUUUUUAUUAUUUUUAAAAUUUAAUAUUUAAGUAAAAAAGCUUAUUUUAUUUUUUGGGACGAUAAGACCCUAUAGAACUUUAUUUUUAAUUUAAUUUAUAUUAUUUUAGAUUUUUAAUAAUUUAAAUAUUUUGAUAUUUUUAGUUGGGGUGAUUAAUAAAUUUAACUUUAUUUUAUGCUUUCAUUUAUUUAUGUAUGAUUGAUCCAUUAAUAAUGAUUAUAAGAAUAAGUUACCUUAGGGAUAACAGCGUUAUUUUAAUGGGGAGUUCAUAUCUAUAUUAAAGUUUGCGACCUCGAUGUUGAAUUAAGAUAAGAUUGAGGGGCAG
rnacentral:rRNA from 1 species